GUGCCAGCCGCCGCGGUAAUACGGAGGGUGCAAGCGUUACUCGGAAUCACUGGGCGUAAAGAGCACGUAGGCGGCCUUGCAAGUCAGAUGUGAAAUCCAACGGCUUAACCGUUGAACUGCAUUUGAAACUGCAAGGCUAGAGUAUGGGAGAGGUAGGUGGAAUUCUCGGUGUAGGGGUAAAAUCCGUAGAGAUCGAGAGGAAUACUCAUUGCGAAGGCGACCUGCUGGAACAUUACUGACGCUGAGGUGCGAAAGCGUGGGGAGCAAACAGG
rnacentral:rRNA from 1 species